AAAUGAAUUGACGGGGGCCCGCACAAGCAGCGGAGCAUGUGGUUUAAUUCGAAGCAACGCGAAGAACCUUACCAGCUCUUGACAUCCUUUGAUGGGUCUAGAGAUAGAUCGUUCCCUUCGGGGACAAAGAGACAGGUGGUGCAUGGUUGUCGUCAGCUCGUGUCGUGAGAUGUUGGGUUAAGUCCCGCAACGAGCGCAACCCCUGUGUUCAGUUACCAUCAUUAAGUUGGGGACUCUGGACAGACUGCCCGUGAAAGCGGGAGGAAGGUGGGGAUGACGUCAAAUCAUCAUGCCCCUUACGAGCUGGGCUACACACGUGCUACAAUGGGAUGAACAAAGGGAAGCGAAGCGGUGACGCGGAGCGAAUCUCAAAAAACAUUUCCCAGUUCGGAUUGCAGGCUGCAACUCGCCUGCAUGAAGUUGGAGUUGCUAGUAAUCGCGAAUCAGAAUGUCGCGGUGAAUGCGUUCCCGGGCCUUGUACACACCGCCCGU
rnacentral:rRNA from 1 species